GUCCACGCCCUAAACGAUGGGUACUGAGUGUUGGGACUUGUUCCCAGUGCUUCAAGCUAACGCAUUAAGUACCCCACCUGAGGAGUACGGCCGCAAGGUUAAAACUCAAAUGAAUAGACGGGACCCACACAAGCAGUGGAUCAUGUGGUUUAAUUCGACAAUAAACGGGGAACCUUACCCAGGCUUGACAUCCUACGAAUCCGGCGGAAACGUUGGAGUGCCCGCAAGGGGAAUGUAGAGACAGGCGCUGCAUGGUUGUCGU
rnacentral:rRNA from 1 species